GUUGGCAAUUAAGAAUGGAGGCUCGAGGAAGUGUGCAAAAGUAGGAGGUUAACCACACAUGAGAGUCUUAUGAAAGAAGUUUCUGUAGCAGUGCAUAAAAAGCAGUAAAAGCCACACAGAUCAGUCUUAACCUGUUGAACUUCCAAGGAGCAAACAGGCAGGAGCAAUUACGUCAGCUGUUUGCGCAGGCACAUUAACCUUUCCACUCCACCUUCUGCUUGUGCUUGUUCUGUAGUCCAGUUGCUUUGGGUCUUUCUCAUUUGCAAGCUUGUGAAAGAUACGAAGACAUGUCAAUUCACACCGCAAAAAAAGAAAAACGGUUUCUUUUUACCUCAGAAUCUGUUGCUGAAGGACAUUCUGAUAAGAUAUGUGAUCAGAUAAGUGAUGCUGUUGUAGAUGCUCAUCUCAGUAUUGAUCCAGAUGCCAAGGUUGCCUGUGAGUGUGUAGCAAAAACUGGAAUGAUUUUGCUCUGUGGAGAGAUCACUUCCCGAGCUAUAGUAGAUUACCAACAAAUUGUGAGAGAGACCCUUAAGAAGAUAGGAUAUGAUGACUCUUCCAAAGGACUGGACUAUAAGACUUGCACAGUUUUAGUGGCCUUGGAACAGCAGUGUAAAGAGAUCAAGGAUGCUAUCUCCCAUGGCAAGUGUGAUGAUGACAUUGGAGCAGGGGAUCAGGGUUUGAUGUUUGGCUAUGCCACUGAUGAAACUGAGGAAUGUAUGCCCUUAACAAUCCUCCUGGCACACAAACUAACUGCAACUAUAAGGGCUCUGGAACGGAAUGGAACGUGGCCUUGGGUUAGACCAGAUGGGAAAACACAGGUCACAAUGGAAUACAAGGAGUGUAAUGGCACACUGGAGCCCAUCCGAGUGCACACACUGGUGAUUUCAGUAAAUCAUGCCCCAGACAUAACACUGCAACAAAUACAGAAGGAGCUAAUGGAGAAAGUUGUUAAAAAAGUCAUUCCAGAGAAGUAUCUUGAUGAGGACACCAUUUAUCAUCUCCUUCCAAGUGAAAAGUUUGUAGAAGGUGGUCCUAAGGCCGAUGCUGGACUGACUGGUCGGAAGAUCAUUGUUGAUACAUACGGAGGCUGGGGAGCCCAUGGUGGAGGUGCAUUCUCUGGGAAAGAUCCCUCCAAAGUUGAUCGUUCUGCAGCCUAUGCAGCUCGCUGGAUUGCAAAAUCUCUGGUGAAAGCUGGUCUCUGUAAAAGGGUACUAAUCCAGCUAUCAUAUGCCAUCGGUCUGAGCUGUCCUCUUGCAAUCUCAGUGUUUCAUUAUGGAACAUCAGACAGAUCUGAAGAAGAACUACUUAAAAUUGUCCAGAAAAACUUUGAUCUGCGCCUUGCAGCUAUCAUAAGGGAGCUGGAUUUGAAGAGGCCAAUCUAUCAAAAAACAGCAUGCUAUGGGCACUUUGGAAGAGAAGAAUUUACAUGGGAAAUACCCAAAAAGCUUGUGUUUUAAGCUUUUCAAAACAUUUCAUAUUAUUGACAUUUCAUAUUAUUCAUAUUAAUAACUAGGACCCUGGACCUUAUCUUUGCCUGAAACUAAUCCAUUUAAUAUGCAUAUAGCCUCAUAGGCAUAAAGCAUAGCAUUAAACUUCAUUAGAAUUUGCUCAAAUUGCUAUUUUCUAGGAAAUAGUAAUGCAGCUUGCUAAUUCUGAAAUGUCAAAAUAAUAAAAUAUUGAGAAAUGUUUUAAUAAAUGGCGGCACAAAGUUUAAAUGGCAAGGGAUUGCAGAGAUCACUAUACACUAAACUGAUAGCAAUUUCAGUAAAUGGGCAUAUAGUGUCAAUUUUACAACUGUCUCAAUUUCACUGUCAUAAGACUUCACCCUUCCAAAGUUAAAUAGAGCUUUGUUAAGAAGCUGUGAUGCUUUGUUCCUCAUGGAAGAAGAGCAUUUUGAUGAAAUGUCUUUUGUUAAACUGAAUGAGGAAAUUAUUUGUUCAAUGGAGGUGUCUGUUAAUCGCUGCUCGCUGUCAAACAAACAAAACACAAACAAACAAGCCCCCACAAAACCCCCACGGUGUACUUCAGACAGUAAGAACACAUUCCUGCAAGACUUCUUUCACCUUGCUUUCUGACUUCAGAGUUGAAGACAUUUUCUUCAAGGAAUUUGAUAGACUACUAAGCUUUCCUUCCCCUUGUCAUUGACUGGUGUUUCAAAGUAGCCAGGAGUACCACCUACUGAAGAAAUCCCUAAAUACGGAUUGGAACAGGUACAUUAAGACUCUAGAGAUCCUGCCUAAAAAUUUUAGUGACUUUUCUAAUGACUAGUGAAUUAAUUUUAUUUAUAGAGGGUAGCUAAUUUGCCCUAUGUAAAAAAUCUCUUCAAAAACAGAAAAAAAGACAUAUGCCUUGUUUGAAACCAGCAGAUAAAGAUACCUCUGCUAAGUUUGUAGUGUCUAGUCCACAGCCAGACACAAAACUAUUGCUCCACAAAACCAGUGAAAUAAUCUUUUUUUGAAUGAUUGGCGCGUUCUCUCAUUACCAUUCUGGAAAAGAAUGACUUAAACUAGAACCUAAACUGUAAAAAAGGGUUCCCAAAUCAGACAUAAGCUUUAAGAUGGCAGAUUGCUGAAAAAGUAGCUAAAUUCAAAUGUAGCCUCCAUCCAGGGAUCAAUUGAAAUUUAUUUAUUUAUUUAUUUAUGAAACUUGCUGUUUUAAUAUCAAAUGCAUAGGGUCUUAUUUGAAAUAUGUGGUUACAAUAUAUUAUAAAAAUCUCCCAAUAUAUAUCAGGUCAUAUUCUGCAUAAGAAAAAAAAUUGU